rnacentral:rRNA from 1 species
GUGAGUAACACGUGAGUAACCUGCCCUUGACUUUGGGAUAACUUCAGGAAACUGGGGCUAAUACCGGAUAGGAGCUCCUGCUGCACGGUGGGGGUUGGAAAGUUUCGGCGGUUGGGGAUGGACUCGCGGCUUAUCAGCUUGUUGGUGGGGUAGUGGCUUACCAAGGCUUUGACGGGUAGCCGGCCUGAGAGGGUGACCGGCCACAUUGGGACUGAGAUACGGCCCAG